AUUGAACGCUGGCGGCAGGCCUAACACAUGCAAGUCGAGCGAGCGGCGGACGGGUGAGUAAUGUCUGGGAAACUGCCUGAUGGAGGGGGAUAACUACUGGAAACGGUAGCUAAUACCGCAUACCCUCAGAUGUGCCCAGAUGGGAUUAGCUGGUUGGUGGGGUAACGGCUCACCUCGGCGACGCUCCCUAGCUGGUCUGAGAUGAUGAACAGCCAAACUGGAACUGAGACACGGUCCAGACUCCUACGGAAGGCAGCAUUGGGGAAUAUUGCACAAUGGGCUCAAGCCUGAUGCAGCCAUGCCGCGUGUGUGAAGAAGGCCUUCGGGUUGUAAAGCACUUUCAGCGCGGAGGCGUUACCCGCAGAAGAAGCACCGGCUAACUCCGUGCCAGCAGCCGCGGUAAUUC
rnacentral:rRNA from 1 species